GAUGAACGCUGACAGAAUGCUUAACACAUGCAAGUCUUUGGCGAAGCUGUGCUUGCACAGCCUAGCCAAGGCGGACGGGUGAGUAACGCGUAAGGAACUUGCCCUGCAGUCAGGGAUAACAGACGGAAACGACUGAUAAGACCUGGUAAAGUCAGGCGGACUCAUGUCCAGCCUGAUGAAAAGUGAUGCUGCAGGAGAGCCUUGCGUCCUAUUAGCUUGUUGGUGGGGUAACGGCCCACCAAGGCGAUGAUAGGUAGCCGGCCUGAGAGGGUGGACGGCCACAAGGGGACUGAGAUACGGCCCUUACUCCUACGGGAGGAAGCAGUGGGGAAUAUUGGACAAUGGGGGCAACACUGAUCCAGCAAUUCUGUGUGCACGAUGAAGGUUUUCGGAUUGUAAAGUGCUUUCAGCAGGGAAGAAAAAAAUGACGGUACCUGCAGAAGAAGCGACGGCUAAAUACGUG
rnacentral:rRNA from 1 species